AGAAAAACGAAGUAUGGAAAUCAGGAAACGAGAUUUGUACAUGUCUGCCAACCAGACGUAUCCAGUGUGAGCAGCAGACAGGUGGAGAAGUUUCGGUAGAAAUUGGUGGAACGGGUUGGAACACGGUAGGAGGGUCUUUGUCGUUCGUGUCCAUCGGAUUCUGUGGCGUUUGGGGCGUGAACUCCGCCGGAGUGGUGUUCUACCGAGUCGGCACGUACGGUAACGAGCGGGUCCCCGGGACCGGGUGGCUGACAGUAACCGGCGUCGGGCUUGUGCAGAUCAGUUCCGGCCAGGGCAUCGUGUGGGGCGUCACCGCUAGGUACAGGGUCUAUGUGCGAAUCGGUACGUACCAUUGUUCUCGUUACUUGAUGA